AUGUCUGUCAACGACUUGGAGUUGGUGUGUUGGAAUGUCAGAGGCCUUAACAACCCGGCCAAGAGGAAGGCACUAAGAGGCUUUGUAGACUCUGUGUGUGCUGCGAUUGUAUGUAUUUUAGAAACUAAGCUAGAGGAUGUGAACAUCUAUGUAAUCUUGCAAUGCAUGGGACCAAACUAUGAUGGUUUUACUUACUUACCAGCGUCGGAGACGAGAGGUGGUAUUUUUGUGGCCUGG
rnacentral:rRNA from 1 species